CAUAAAGAUAACUUGCACAAAUAAUGGUCUGCAGUACUCGGCAAUCGACGAAGCGACCACAGUUAUAGGGGCCAGAUUCUGCAGAAAGUCAGACCACCACUGUUUCAAGCGCAUCAAAAAGCAAUGAAGGCUGCUGUGACAAUACUCCAUCUUGCACUGGCAGGAAUUCUACUUUUGACGGCGAAGUCAGGCACUGCCAUUACCUGCGGAGAGCCUCAAGAAGGGUGCCCGCCACCGACAGCUGAGAAGAACGUUACGCUCUACUUUUACAACUACGCGAUUAAUGACUGCUUCGGCGUCGACACCAGCGGCUGCGAAGGCUACGGAUGGGGAACUCAUUUCGAUUGUUGGGCGAAUUGUCGCCACAUUUAGGGCGUUGCAUUCUUGCUUACAUCGCAUUGAGCUUAAUGGCAGCAGAGUCGGUAUGACAACCAUAUGCUAAGAUAAGAAACGGCAGCCAUGCGGGUGUCGCUUAACGCAGUCCAAAUAAGGCCAGUAUGCUUCCUUACUCACCCAACGAUUUAUAAUAGCUUUUAUU